UGGGGAAUAUUGCACAAUGGGCGCAAGCCUGAUGCAGCAACGCCGCGUGAACGAUGAAGGUCUUCGGAUCGUAAAGUUCUGUUGCAGGGGAAGAUAAUGACGGUACCCUGUGAGGAAGCCCCGGCUAAUUACGUGCCAGCAGCCGCGGUAAUACGUAAGGUCCGAGCGUUGUCCGGAAUCAUUGGGCGUAAAGGGUACGUAGGCGGGUAAGCAAGUUAGAAGUGAAAUCCUGUAGCUCAACUACAGUAAGCUUUUAAAACUGCUCAUCUUGAGAUAUGGAAGGGAAAGUGGAAUUCCUAGUGUAGCGGUGAAAUGCGCAGAUAUUAGGAGGAAUACCGGUGGCGAAGGCGACUUUCUGGCCAUAAUCUGACGCUGAGGUACGAAAGCGUGGGUAGCAAACAGG
rnacentral:rRNA from 1 species